ACACUUACCUGGCAGGAGAGCUACCGUGACCACGAAGAUCGUUUGCCCGGGGCAGGCUGAUCCACUGCACUAUGGACGUGCUGCCUCCUGCGAUUUCCCCUAAUGUGGGAAACUCCACUGCAUACUUUGCAGUAGUGGGGGACUGUGUUCCUGCAUGCAUGAA